GAUGAACGCUGGCGGCGUGCCUAAUACAUGCAAGUCGAGCGAACAGACGAGGAGCUUGCUCCUCUGACGUUAGCGGCGGACGGGUGAGUAACACGUGGAUAACCUACCUAUAAGACUGGGAUAACUUCGGGAAACCGGAGCUAAUACCGGAUAAUAUAUUGAACCGCAUGGUUCAAUAGUGAAAGACGGUUUUGCUGUCACUUAUAGAUGGAUCCGCGCCGCAUUAGCUAGUUGGUAAGGUAACGGCUUACCAAGGCAACGAUGCGUAGCCGACCUGAGAGGGUGAUCGGCCACACUGGAACUGAGACACGGUCCAGACUCCUACGGGAGGCAGCAGUAGGGAAUCUUCCGCAAUGGGCGAAAGCGUGACGGAGCAACGCCGCGUGAGUGAUGAAGGUCUUCGGAUCGUAAAACUCUGUUAUUAGGGAAGAACAAAUGUGUAAGUAACAAUGCACGUCUUGACGGUACCUAAUCAGAAAGCCACGGCUAACUACGUG
rnacentral:rRNA from 1 species